CCCCAGCAGCAGGCGUCCAACAACACCUCUCUUUCUCUGCCUUCUCUUGGUGGUGGUCUACUGGUCUUGGUCCCGUGUGCGGCAAGGCCAAGGCCAACCCGGCUGUCUCUCCUCUCCUCUCCUGCUCUUGACUUCCAUUUCCAUCCCAAUUCCCACCACUGACCUGACCGCCCGCACGCCGCCCUUGGCCUCGAUCACAUCAUCCCUCCGCUCCACUUUUGCCGCCGUCCUCCGUCUCCCUCCCCCCGCGUCCAAAUCCAACCAUCCCCACCGCGCGCCUCCGCCAUGGAUCCCUUCCACCACCUCAACAGCUCCUUCUCCAAUCCCUACCACCCGCUCCUCUCCCCGUCGCCGCCGCACUUUCCCCUGCCGCCCCCGCCCCCGCAGCUGCCCUCCGUCUCCGCCGCCUCCAGCGCGAGCCUCGAGCGGGAGCGCCUCCCGCAGUGGUCCCACGCCGAGACGGCCGCCUUCCUCGCCGUGCGCGCCGACCUCGAUCACUCCUUCCUCACCACCAAGCGCAACAAGGCGCUCUGGGAGGCCGUCUCCGCGCGCCUCCACGCGCAGGGCUUCGCGCGCACCCCGGACCAGUGCAAGUCCAAGUGGAAGAACCUCGUCACCAGGUUCAAGGGCACCGAGGCCGCCGCCGCCGCCGCCGCGGCCGACCCGGCCUCCGCGCAGCAGCAGCAGCCGAGGCCGCAGUUCCCGUUCCACGACGAGGUGCGGCGGAUAUUCGACGCCAGGGCCGAGCGCGCGCAGGCAUUGGAGAGGAAGAGGGCCAAGGGCAAGGGCGUCCGCACGGCGGCGGCGGCGGCGCUGGACGACGAAGGCGCCGGCGAGGGGGACGACGCCGCCGAUGUUGACGACGACGAAGAGGACGAGGACGAAGAGGCCGCGGCGGGCGACGAGGAGGCCGGCGGGGGCCUGCCUGCUGCGGCGGACGCGGGCGGCAGGGCCGGCGCGAAGAAGCGCAGGCGGAAGCAGGCGCGCGCCGCCGCCGCUAGGGCCGCGGCGGGGCAGGGCGAGGUGGAGGCCAUGCUGCGGGAGUUCAUGCGCCGGCAGGCCGAGAUGGAGGAGCGCUGGGCGGAGGCCGCCGAGGCGCGCGAGGCCGAGCGCCGGGCGCGCGAGGAGGAGUGGCGCGCCGCCAUGGUCGCGCUGGGCGAGGAGCGCCUCGCGCUCGUGCGCCGCUGGCGGGAGCGCGAGGACGCCCUGCGCGCGCGCGCAGAGGAGCGCGAGGAGCGCCGCCACCAGCUCGUCGCCGCGCUGCUCGCCAAGCUCGGCGGCGCCGACUGCUGACGUGUCGUGCUGCGUCGAUCGGCAUGCAUGAUGCAUCAUCCAUCGAUCGAUGGUCUCCCUCGCGCGCGCGCGCCACGCGACCAGCUCGUCCAUCCGAAUCGGCGAAUCCUUCGACCCCCCGCCCACCGAAUAUCACGCUCCACCGGACUAGGAUAUCACAUGCUUCAUUCUGCAAUUGAGGGGGGCACCAACAUCUAUCCAUGUGCGGGACUACUACUCCAGUAGACAAGGACCAAUUGUCCGUCGACCUGAUGUGGAUGGAGCGAUGAUGGAGAUUAAUUCGGAUUGUGCCAACAAAUUGCACUGAUAUAUAUGAUGGAGUUGCAUUAUUGAAGUGGUACAUAAGGUUGUACUAGUUAAUUUGACUACUACCUGACACUGUACAGUGGCAGAGAGCAAACGAUGGUGUUGCUUGCACGCUAGCUUUCACGAAUACUCGAAAUUUCAGUUCACGUAGGUUAUAGCG
rnacentral:misc_RNA from 1 species